GUCCACGCCGUAAACGAUGUUAACUAGGUGUAGGGAGAUUUGACCCUUCCUGCGCCGUCGCUAACGCAUUAAGUUAACCGCCUGGGGGAGUACGGUCGCAAGACUAAAACUCAAAGGAAUUGACGGGGGCCCGCACAAGCGGUGGAGUAUGUGGUUUAAUUCGACGCAACGCGAAGAACCUUACCUGGAUUAGAAAUCAAGUGGAAGUCCUGUAGAGAUAUGGGACGUUCCCGCAAGGGAACUGCUUGACAGGUGCUGCAUGGCUGUCGU
rnacentral:rRNA from 1 species